GGAGGGAUAGGUGAACAAUAUCUAUGGUACACCCUCCGACUAUUGGAGCACUGUGCAAGCCAAGGAGCAGAGCUUAGAUCCUUUGUAUGUACACAAUGAUGCGUCAUCCUUCAAGCUCUCCGAAGUAAAUUUUCGGAUGCAUGCGACUUGGGAAAAGAGAGUCCAAAACUCCCCAACACAUGCCAAUUGUCAAGCUCCGGAAGCACCAACUUUAUUUUUUUUCUUUCUUUUUUCUGCAAUUUUUUUUUUUAUGCUCCCUCCGAAGUGGUCUGCCGAUUUCUGCACCUGAGAAAAGUCGGGGCGGGAGGGAUAGGUGAGUACAUCCUCCGACUAUAGGAGCACUGUGCAAGCUAGGAAUUAGAGCGUAGAUCCUUUAAAUGAGAUGUGUAUGGAUAUAAUGAAAUGUCGUCCUCCGAGCUCUCUAGAUUAAAUUCUCGGACGCAUGCACCGAGGAAACAAAAUUAAAGAAGUAUGUGCCAACUGCAAAGGAUGUCUUGAAGUGGAAUCCCUUUCUAAUCACUCUCAGCUCUCCCGUUGGUGGUCGGCCGGCCGGCUAGUCUCUCUCCUCGGUUGUUAACGAGGUCUGUUCUCUCUCUCUCUCUCUCUUCCCCAAAAUCCUCGCCAUAGAUCUCGUUUCGUGGCGCUUCUCCUGAGGAAACCACCACCACCACUCUCUUCCUAGAUCUCCGAAAGCGUCCACCAAAAGGGAUAUGGAGCGCUCUCAAGCUAGGAUCCGCGAAUCGGGAGAAGGCGGAGAGGAGAAGGAGAGCUAGGUUUCCCUUGAGGCUUGCCAGCUCGGGGUGCGGGGGCAAAUGAGGGAAACCCUAGGGUGGAAUCGCCCGAUCGUAGAGGCUUCAGAGCUUGGAUCCCUUGGGAGCGAAGGAAGAGCAGGAAUAAUCCAUAAGAAAAGAUAGGAGAAGGAAGCUUGGAACCAGAGAGAAGGAAGAGGAGACCAGAGCCCGGCUACGGUGAAACAAUCCGGGGUAGGCCUAUCAGCCUCUCUUCUUCUCUUCUUAGUUUCUCGAUGUGGUAUGAUGGAUGAGAUUUAAGUUAUCGAUGGCCGAUUUGUAUGAUUUGGGUUGGUAUAGCACCGAUCUGUUGAUGGUUUGGGAGUUUUAUUGGUUCAUUUUGCUGUUUGGCUAUUGAAUAGGCGUGAAUUUUUGGGUUUCUUUCCUUGAUUCUGUUUUAGGAAGCCGCUUUUUGAUUUGAUUAAACGGACCGUGGUGUGGAAGAUUGCAAAGAAGCUAUUGCAGCCGUGAGACGCUUCUUGUGUUAUUUCUACUGUAAUUUAUAAUUUAUAAUUUAUAAAUAUGCUUUCUAUAUUAUUUCUAUUGUAAAAGAAAGAUCAUAUAAAUUGGACAUAUGUUCUAA